rnacentral:lncRNA from 1 species
UUCCCCUGUACCGCGGACAGAGUCUCCCCUGUACGUUCAAGGCGUCGCAAUCAAUACAAUGUACGAAGUUCCAACCAGGAACACAUUUCAACCAAAGAUUGCAUAAGGAAGUAUCAAAAACAUAAAUCUACUUGCUAUUACAAGCAUUCGUCUCACAUAUUACAUUUUACAUUCCACAUUACAUUCUUUUACAUCGAUCCUCAACUUCCAAUUAUACAAUCAAGUUCUUAACAUACUNA